CGAUUCAGGCGACGUGCUUAACACAUGCAAGUCGAACGAGACGAGAGAAAGCUUGCUUUGAGAGUCGAGUGGCAAACGGGUGAGUAACGCGUAGACAACCUGCCGCAAAGAUGGGGACAACAGUCCGAAAGGACUGCUAAUACCGAAUGUUGUCCGAUUUCCGCAUGGGAGAACCAUUAAAGAUGGCCUCUACUUGUAAGCUAUCGCUUUGUGAUGGGUCUGCGUCUGAUUAGCUAGUUGGUGGGGUAACGGCCUACCAAGGCGACGAUCAGUAGCCGGUCUGAGAGGAUGAACGGCCACAUUGGAACUGAGACACGGUCCAGACUCCUACGGGAGGCAGCAGUGGGGAAUCUUCCGCAAUGGGGGAAAGCCUGACGGAGCAACGCCGCGUGAGUGAAGAAGGGUUUCGGCUCGUAAAGCUCUGUUGUCGGGGACGAAUGUGCAAGAUACGAACAGUUUCUUGCAAUGACGGUACCUGACGAGGAAGCCACGGCUAACUACGUGCCAGCAGCCGCGGUAAUACGUAGGUGGCGAGCGUUGUCCGGAAUUAUUGGGCGUAAAGGGAGCGCAGGCGGGAAGGCAAGUCAGUCUUAAAAGUGCGGGGCUCAACCCCGUGAUGGGAUUGAAACUGUCUUUCUUGAGUGCAGGAGAGGAAAGCGGAAUUCCUAGUGUAGCGGUGAAAUGCGUAGAUAUUAGGAGGAACACCAGUGGCGAAGGCGGCUCUCUGGACUGUAACUGACGCUGAGGCUCGAAAGCGUGGGGAGCGAACAGGAUUAGAUACCCUGGUAGUCCACGCCGUAAACGAUGAAUGCUAGGUGUAAGAGGUAUCGACCCCUUCUGUGCCGGAGUUAACGCAUUAAGCAUUCCGCCUGGGGAGUACGGUCGCAAGACUGAAACUCAAAGGAAUUGACGGGGGCCCGCACAAGCGGUGGAGUAUGUGGUUUAAUUCGACGCAACGCGAAGAACCUUACCAGGUCUUGACAUUGAGUGGAAAAUUUAAAAAUAAGUCCCUCUCUUCGGAGACUCGAAAACAGGUGGUGCAUGGCUGUCGUCAGCUCGUGUCGUGAGAUGUUGGGUUAAGUCCGCACGAGCGCACCCUAUCGUGUGCACAGUUGU
rnacentral:rRNA from 1 species